CACCUUUCGCCGAUCUCGCUGUACACAAAAUCCACGUUUCCGGGCCGGGCUUGCUUCUGAACCGUAGAUCAUCUUGCCGUUGACUAAGCUUUAGACGCGUAGGAAGCCAUUUCUUGAGUACGGCUUCUCAAGCUUAGGAGACUGCUGUUCAAGCUGAAGUUGCCUGAUUCACACUCUGAACAGAUGCACAUGGAGUGGAAAGACAGACUACUCAUUGCCUAGCGAUGGAAGUUUAUCAGCGUUUCAGAACUGUGAAACUGUGUAUCUUGUCGAACUAGAGUCAGCAAAAAUUCGUCUAGCCUAUCCAACGUUUCAUGGAAGGUGAGUAAUAGCCUUGGCUGUUGGUUCAAUCCAACUCCACACUGUAUCAAGCACAUUUCUCGACACAACGUGUGUAAAACUUGAUUUUAUCAUUUGGCAGUGUGUUGAGCGAUUCCUUGCAACUCAGACUCUGCGGAUGCAAGGUCUUACUCGAGAACACUAAUCUUGUUUUCAAGUUCCACUAUUUCAUUUGCUUGCUGUUCAAUUAUCCGAGGAUCACUAGACUAUUAUCAUAUUCACGUCUUGAUCAACUGCAGCUGCGAAUGAAGUAGAACAGCCUCUGCUUUCUGAUUUAGACAUUGUAGCUAUGGAAAAGCUAGUGCGUGUGUGUUGUGUUACUCUAGACAUAACUGUUGCUGGGACU